GACGAACGCUGGCGGCGUGCUUAACACAUGCAAGUCGAACGGAAAGGCCCUGCUUUUGUGGGGUGCUCGAGUGGCGAACGGGUGAGUAACACGUGAGUAACCUGCCCUUGACUUUGGGAUAACUUCAGGAAACUGGGGCUAAUACCGGAUAGGAGCUCCUGCUGCAUGGUGGGGGUUGGAAAGUUUCGGCGGUUGGGGAUGGACUCGCGGCUUAUCAGCUUGUUGGUGGGGUAGUGGCUUACCAAGGCUUUGACGGGUAGCCGGCCUGAGAGGGUGACCGGCCACAUUGGGACUGAGAUACGGCCCAGACUCCUACGGGAGGCAGCAGUGGGGAAUAUUGCACAGUGGGCGGACGCCUGAUGCAGCAACGCCGCGUGCGGGAUGACGGCCUUCGGGUUGUAAACCGCUUUCGCCUGUGACGAAGCGUGAGUGACGGUAAUGGGUAAAGAAGCACCGGCUAACUACGUG
rnacentral:rRNA from 1 species